rnacentral:rRNA from 1 species
CCUUUGACGUUAGCGGCGGACGGGUGAGUAACACGUGGGUAACCUACCUAUAAGACUGGGAUAACUUCGGGAAACCGGAGCUAAUACCGGAUAAUAUUUCGAACCGCAUGGUUCGAUAGUGAAAGAUGGUUUUGCUAUCACUUAUAGAUGGACCCGCGCCGUAUUAGCUAGUUGGUAAGGUAACGGCUUACCAAGGCGACGAUACGUAGCCGACCUGAGAGGGUGAUCGGCCACACUGGAACUGAGACACGGUCCAGACUCCUACGGGAGGCAGCAGCG